rnacentral:rRNA from 1 species
GACGAACGCUGGCGGCGUGCUUAACACAUGCAAGUCGAGCGGUAAGGCCCUUUCGGGGGUACACGAGCGGCGAACGGGUGAGUAACACGUGGGUGACCUGCCCUCAGCUCUGGGAUAAGCCUGGGAAACCGGGUCUAAUACUGGAUAUGACUCCACGACGCAUGUUGUGGGGUGGAAAGCCUUGUGCGGCUGAGGAUGGGCCCGCGGCCUAUCAGCUUGUUGGUGGGGUGAUGGCCUACCAAGGCGACGACGGGUAGCCGGCCUGAGAGGGCGACCGGCCACACUGGGGACUGAGACACGGCCCCAGACUCCUACGGGAGGCAGCAGUGGGGAAUCUUGCGCAAUGGGCGAAAGCCUGACGCAGCGACGCCGCGUGAGGGA